rnacentral:rRNA from 1 species
GACGAACGCUGGCGGCGUGCUUAACACAUGCAAGUCGAACGGAAAGGCCCUGCUUUUGUGGGGUUCUCGAGUGGCGAACGGGUGAGUAACACGUGAGUAACCUGCCCUUGACUUUGGGAUAACUUCAGGAAACUGGGGCUAAUACCGGAUAUGAGCUCCUGCUGCAUGGGGGGGGUUGGAAAGUUUCGGCGGUUGGGGAUGGACUCGCGGCUUAUCAGCUUGUUUGUGGGGUAGUGGCUUACCAAGGCUUUGACGGGUAGGCGGCCUGAGAGGGUUAACGGCCACAUUGGGACUGAGAUACGGCCCAGACUCCUACGGGAGGCAGCAGUGGGGAAUAUUGCACAAUGGGCGGAAGCCUGAUGCAGCAACGCCGCGUGCGGGAUGACGGCCUUCGGGUUGUAAACCGCUUUCGCCUGUGACGAAGCGUGAGUGACGGUAAUGGGUAAAGAAGCACCGGCUAACUACGUG